AAUAAGUGCAGCCGUAGAUAUCCGUGCCCAACAUUUGACCGUCCGUCUUAUUUGAAAAAUUUGAAAAUAUUUAGUCACACAUAAAGUACUAUUCAUUUUUUAUCAUCUAAUAGCAAUAAAAAUACUAAUCAUAAAAAAUUUUUAAAUAAGACGAACAGUCAAACGUUGAACGUGAAUAGUGCAAAACUACACUUAUU
rnacentral:pre_miRNA from 1 species